UGGAAUAGCUUAGUAGGUAGAGCAAUUCACUCGUAAUGAAUAGGUCGCAGGUUCGAUUCCUGCUUUCAGC
rnacentral:tRNA from 1 species